rnacentral:rRNA from 1 species
GCAGCCAUCAUUUAAAGAAAGCGUAAUAGCUCACUGAUCGAGUCGUCCUGCGCGGAAGAUGUACCGGGGCUAAACAUACCACCGAAGCUGCGGCUGCGAAUUUAUUCGCGGGGUAGGGGAGCGUUCUGUAAGCUGUUGAAGGUGUGUCGGGAGGCAUGCUGGAGGUAUCAGAAGUGCGAAUGCUGACAUGAGUAACGAUAAAGCGGGUGAAAAACCCGCUCGCCGGAAGACCAAGGGUUCCUAUCCCAUGCUAAUCAGGGUAGGGUGAGUCGACCCCUAAGGCGAGGCCGAAAGGCGUAGUCGAUGGAAAACAGGUUAAUAUUCCUGUACUUCUUGUAAUUGCGAUGGGGUGACGGAGAAGG